rnacentral:ncRNA from 2 species
GUUAUACCGCGGUUCGAGGCUCCCGGUGCGGGGCUAAGACGGGAGGCGGGUGGCGUGUCCGUGAGGGCCCGCAGUCCGGCGCCGCCUCUGCAACUGUAAGGGGAGCGGCGGCUUCAUCUCGUGCCGCAAGCAUGCCUGGCAGGCCCGGACCGUUUUGUUGAUCCGUGACCAGGAGACCUGCCUUCGCCGCAACCGCGCU